UGGGGAAUAUUGGACAAUGGGGGCAACCCUGAUCCAGCAAUGCCGCGUGUGUGAAGAAGGCCUGCGGGUUGUAAAGCACUUUCAGUAGGGACGAAAAGCUGACGGCUAAUAUCCGUCAGUCUUGACUUAACCUACAGAAGAAGCACCGGCUAACUCCGUGCCAGCAGCCGCGGUAAUACGGAGGGUGCAAGCGUUAAUCGGAAUUACUGGGCGUAAAGCGCGCGUAGGCGGUUUGAUAAGUCGGAUGUGAAAUCCCCGGGCUCAACCUGGGAAUUGCAUUCGAUACUGUCUGACUAGAGUAUGGUAGAGGCAGGUGGAAUUUCCGGUGUAGCGGUGAAAUGCGUAGAUAUCGGAAAGAACAUCAGUGGCGAAGGCGGCCUGCUGGACCAAUACUGACGCUGAGGUGCGAAAGCGUGGGGAGCAAACAGG
rnacentral:rRNA from 1 species